CCUACGGGAGGCAGCAGUGGGGAAUAUUGCACAAUGGGCGGAAGCCUGAUGCAGCGACGCCGCGUGGGGGAUGACGGCCUUCGGGUUGUAAACCUCUUUCGCCAGGGGCGAAGGGCAACUGACGGUACCUGGAGAAGAAGCACCGGCUAACUACGUGCCAGCAGCCGCGGUAAU
rnacentral:rRNA from 1 species